rnacentral:rRNA from 1 species
AACCCUUGUCAUUAGUUGCCAUCAUUGUUGGGCACUCUAAUGAGACUGCCGGUGACAAACCGGAGGAAGGUGGGGAUGACGUCAAGUCCUCAUGGCCCUUAUGGGUAGGGCUUCACACGUCAUACAAUGGUCGGUACAGAGGGUUGCCAACCCGCGAGGGGGAGCUAAUCCCACAAAGCCGAUCGUAGUCCGGAUCGCAGUCUGCAACUCGACUGCGUGAAGUCGGAAUCGCUAGUAAUCGUGGAUCAGCAUGUCACGGUGAAUUACCGGUUCCCGGGUCUC